rnacentral:rRNA from 1 species
GACGAACGCUGGCGGCGUGCUUAACACAUGCAAGUCGAACGGAAAGGCCCUGCCUGCAGGGUACUCGAGUGGCGAACGGGUGAGUAACACGUGGGUGAUCUGCCCUGCACUUCGGGAUAAGCUUGGGAAACUGGGUCUAAUACCGGAUAGGAGCCAUCUUUAGUGUGGUGGUUGGAAAGUUUUUUCGGUGUAGGAUGAGCUCGCGGCCUAUCAGCUUGUUGGUGGGGUAAUGGCCUACCAAGGCGGCGACGGGUAGCCGGCCUGAGAGGGUGUACGGCCACAUUGGGACUGAGAUACGGCCCAGACUCCUACGGGAGGCAGCAGUGGGGAAUAUUGCACAAUGGGCGCAAGCCUGAUGCAGCGACGCCGCGUGGGGGAUGAAGGCCUUCGGGUUGUAAACUCCUUUCGCUAGGGACGAAGCUUUUUGUGACGGUACCUAGAUAAGAAGCACCGGCUAACUACGUG